rnacentral:rRNA from 1 species
GACGAACGCUGGCGGCGUGCUUAACACAUGCAAGUCGAACGGAAAGGCCCUGCUUUUGUGGGGUGCUCGAGUGGCGAACGGGUGAGUAACACGUGAGUAACCUGCCCUUGACUUUGGGAUAACUUCAGGAAACUGGGGCUAAUACCGGAUAGGAGCUCCUGCUGCAUGGUGGGGGUUGGAAAGUUUCGGCGGUUGGGGAUGGACUCGCGGCUUAUCAGCUUGUUGGUGGGGUAGUGGCUUACCAAGGGUUUGACGGGUAGCCGGCCUGAGAGGGUGACCGGCCACAUUGGGACUGAGAUACGGCCCAGAAUCCUACGGGAGGCAGCAGUGGGGAAUAUUGCACAAUGGGCGGAAGCCUGAUGCAGCAACGCCGCGUGCGGGAUGACGGCCUUCGGGUUGUAAACCGCUUUCGCCUGUGACGAAGCGUGAGUGACGGUAAUGGGUAAAGAAGCCCCGGCUAACUACGUG